GUGAAUCAUCGAAUUUUUGAACGCAAAAUGAACUCUCUGGUAUUCCGGAGAGUAUGCGUGUCUGAGGGUCAGUUUAAAUAAAAAUCGGUGUGGUUGCUGACUUUCGUGGUGACGCACCGGAUUUGGGUCGGCUUGCCUUCGGUUAAGUGACCUAAAAUUCUGCAUGAUAUUUUUCGAACGUGUUUAAAUGAGUUGACGGACGUUUGCGAUAUAGAAUACUAGGUGUGGUAAUACUCAUGAUUCGCGCCUAUAAUUUGUCAUAAAAAGG
rnacentral:misc_RNA from 1 species